rnacentral:rRNA from 1 species
GAUGAACGCUGGCGGCGUGCUUAACACAUGCAAGUCGAACGGGAUCCCGGGAGCUUGCUCCUGGGUGAGAGUGGCGAACGGGUGAGUAAUGCGUGACCGACCUGCCCCAUACACCGGAAUAGCUCCUGGAAACGGGUGGUAAUGCCGGAUGCUCCAGUUGGAUGCAUGUCCUUCUGGGAAAGAUUCUAUCGGUAUGGGAUGGGGUCGCGUCCUAUCAGCUUGAUGGCGGGGUAACGGCCCACCAUGGCUU